ensembl:lncRNA
AGAGAGAACAGGCAGAGCAGGAGAGACACGGCUUGGAAAUCAAACCGCAGAGUUUUCUUUGUUCAGUUUGUUCAAAGGUUGAGGCAAAAUAUGCACUCUUUAUUGCUUUAUUGGCUUGUGCAUUUCUCAGCAGCAAGCCAAAGAGUGAAAAAACAGGUAGAGAGAAAAUUUAGCAGAGAGAACAGAGAGAGCAGGAAAGACACGGUUUUGAAAUCAAACCGUAGAGUUUUCUUUGUUUGUUCAGUUUGUUCAAAGGUUGAGGCAAAAUAUGCACUCUUUAUUGCUUUAUUGGCUUGUGCAUUUUUCAGCAGCAAGCCAAAGAGUGAAAAACAGGUAGAGAGAAAAUUUAGCAGAGAGAACAGACAGAGCAGGAGAGACACGGCUUUGAAAUCAAACCGCAAUAAGAUUCUUGGUUUGGCAAAAUUUCUCACAAACCACAGGGUGAAAUACAGAUGGAAAGAAGGCAGAGACAACAGACAGAGCAGGAGAGACACGGUUUUGAAAUCAAACCGCAAUAAGAUUCUUGGUUUGGCAAAAUUUCUCACAAACCACAGGGUGAAAUACAGAUGGAAAGAAGGCAGAGACAACAGGUGGAGCAGGACAGAGGAUAGAGGGGAUGGGGGGUUGGGAUGUGACAGAGAAGACUGGAGAUCUGGUCCUUGUUCUUCUGCACACUGUGAACAAAAAAGAAGAAAAAAAUAAUAAUUUUAUUAAAAUUAUAUCACAUGGUAAUUGUAUGAACUAAUUGUGACUACUGAAAAAGGACAAAACAAAUAUUGAAGCUAAACUGUUGUUGGCUGCCAUGUGCAAAAAGUUGCAUAAUUGGGCACUUUUUAAAAGAAUAUUUAUUUAAAUUCAGCAAUAAUAUUUUUAAUACAAAUAUGAUUGAGUGAAUCAUUA